UUUUUUUAUUUUUCUCAUGGACCACAGUGACACUCAUUUCAGUAAGAUUUAAAGGCACAUUAUGUACGCCCAAACCCAAACACCAGUUAGUGUGAAAUACACAAUGUACACAAACGCACCUGUAAUGACUGUAAUUAAGUGCAUUUCUCACGGAGUCUCCUUCAGUGCUGAUGGCUACUGUAUAUGCUGACGGUGCAGGUGGAUGUUUAAAUGUAGGGCCUGUGCAGCUCUCAUGGCACCAGUGCGAUGCAGCCAUCGCGUCGGGCAGCUCCCAGUACGAGCGAGUGGAUUUCAGCUGCUAGAUUUCUAAGGAAAUCCAAUAUGGAAUUCGACAUAACUAUGGCAAGACAAUUUACUCUGCCUCAUUUAAAAAUGCACAAUAACAAACCCACUGACCUCAAAAAUGCAUCUGAUGCAAUCCAAUGAGCCCUAAAAGAAGACAUCUCUCAUCAAAGCUCCCUGGCCCACAGUGACAAGUAUAAUGCCUUAAUAUCAUUAAGAAUCCGGCAGGAAACUUCAAAGCAGGAUUAAGUCUGCAGUGAUAUGGACUGCAGCUAAAUGUGACAGCCAAAUGUGAUAGGCUGAGUUAAAAGUCAUUACAGGGAUGUUUUAUACCCUGUAGGUGAAAGGAGGGGUCGGCAUAUGGAAAUUCCCAUAGAUCAUCUCAUACCAACACACACAUUAAGGAGACAGGAGCCCCUGUUACCUCUUCUUCUUGGCAGUCGGAGUUGGCAUCGCCUCAUGACUACAUCCUUGUGUUUGUAUUCUUUGACGUAACGCUUUAGACGUUCAUGUGUCAGCAAAUUGUUUAAUUUCUAUAAGCAGAGCGUUCAAGUCCACCAAUCAAGUAACAGGGUCUUGGUUGACGGGACCCACCUUGAUGUCCCCCAUUGGUUUGUGGGCCCCCUGUUCUGAAACCUCAAGUUUUACAUCAAGCCAGAAGUGACCAUAUUUGGACAAUAGAGUCGAGCUGGGGAAGAUAUCCUGAUUGGAUCUGACUUAAAACCUGAGGACACAACGUGGUAGAGACUCAAUCCUGUUUGUACUCCCAGAGCUUCAAAUACAGUGGCCUGGUUAGUGGCCCCAUGUCUCUAAAGUUGACGCUGUAACUAGGUACCCUUUGAACAUCUACCCAGAGAAAAGUCAGAAUUUGGAGGUUUGUGUCCUGUGUGUGACGAAGAGUCAAGAUUGCUAGUUUCUUGUAGUUAUGCAAGAAAGUUACAUUCUUUUACUACAUAACAUGAUGGGACUUAGUUAUGUGACUGAACAUGGUUAUUUUAACCCAACAUAUGAUCUGCUCCUAAACCCAUCCAGGUAUGUUUUGCGCCUCAACCUAACCAAACCUUUUUUUUAAGCAACAUUAAUAAAUGUCCAGAAGUCUUACUGUGGAGCCUUCACUUGCACUUGCACAUCAGAGGGGCAGGUAAAGCGUCGUAGUCUGAAGCUAACCGCCGAUCCACUAACUGAGCAGCUGUAUGUGAUGAGUUGAGAUGGAGAACGUUUUGAAGAAGACACGAAACUAGCGACUGAGAAAAUAAACUUGUGAGGAAACUGUUUAAUGAGUUGACAGUCAUUAAAAGAACACAGUUAUAAGACCCCAAGAGCAGAACAGAACCCUAAAAAACAUCAGUUGUUUCUCAUGUGAAAGAGGCUCGUCUUCAGUCAUAUAGACAAAUAUGCUCUGGACUUUAAUAAACGGUAGAUUCUUACUGCAUGAUCAAUCUAUUGCGAGUCAGUAUCUGUUUCUACCCAGACUCGGAAGCUAAAUCCACUGCGGUCUUCAUCAUUACCUACUCUGCCUUUGGCCUGAAGAGGGCUUGCAGUUUAAUAAUUGGAAGAUUCAAGAUAUCCCCGUGCUUCCAACCUACAGCAGCAUGCAGUUCAAUAAAACACUCAACCGAGCCACAGGGAGCUCUACUUGAAGAUGAAUCCAGCAACCCAGUAACUGUAAACCCAGCUGGUUUCAAAUAAAAACACGGCCAAGCUGACACUUCGGAUCCAAGUUCUCAACUUGCCAAAUUCAAGCAGGAUCUCAAACACAUGCUACCCACUCUGACACACAAACGCCCCGAAUCCUUCCAGCCAACCAAGCAGCAAGUAUAUCGCACUCGCCAUCAUUGAGCCUCUGAUGCAAGAAGAGGUGGUCAUCGUCAUGAUGCAGAUUUCAAAAGAAAACUCUCUAUUAGCCGUCAAGAGUAUGAUUCAACACCAAACCAAACCAAACUGGCUUAAAUAGUAACAGAUAUAACUCUAGCUAGCUAUCGAGAUGGUGGUGGUGUGACAGCUAGUCAAGAUGGCAGCAUUUAAACAAUUGUAAGCAUGAAACCACUGGAUAUUUUUAACAAGACAUUGGGACGACUUCCAGCUCUGUUAGUGGCAGCAAAACUGGAUAGUUUGAAGCAUCAGAAUCGCCAAAACAUGAUUCCUAAUCUCAACCAAGUGGUUUCUGUGCAUUAACCUUAACCUGACCAUAAGAUCACAACCAAGGAUGAUGGUAAGUUGAUCUUUGUGAGCGUCCAUUAACAGAAUCAUCACGAAUAUCUAAUAUAGGGAAAGACACAUCUUUUCAAUCAUUAGCCUGUCACCAUGCCAUCAAUUAUGUCUGGAUUAAAAAAAAAAGAACGACAGGAA